AUUCAUAUAAAAUUGCAAAUUCGAUUAUUGAAACUCCGAAAAUGUAUCUCAUACAAUUUUACAUCCUAAUGAUCAUUAUACAUUUUCAUUUUAAACAAUUAUUAUUGAAACUUCGAAUUUAUUAUAUUCAUAAUGUCAUUCUACAUAAAUAUCUCUAUUACUAAAAUUUAUGCAUAUAUUAUUACUCGACAUAUCGAUUUCGACAUAUUUGAUUUUAUUUAUAGCAGCAAUAAAAAGUAGGUCAAGUCAGGUUAAAAUCCUGCCAGAAAGGUGAGUUAGGUUAGAACUGCGACCCUCACAGAACCGAAAUGCUGCCAGAAUGGUGGGUUAGGUUAGGUUAGAGCUGCGACCCUCACAGAACCGAAAUGCUGCCAGAAUAGUGGGUUAGGUUAGGUUAGAACUGUGACUCUCACAGAACC